rnacentral:sRNA from 1 species
AUUGCGAACCGAUAUCCUCGGCCGAGUAGCUCCGGCCGACGAUGAGAACGUCCUU